GCGAGAGUGGCGGAAUGGCAGACGCGCUAGGUUCAGGGUCUAGUGGGAGUACUCCCGUAGGGGUUCAAGUCCCCUCUCUCGCACCA
rnacentral:tRNA from 1 species